rnacentral:rRNA from 1 species
UACGGAGGGGACUAGCGUUGUUCGGAAUUACUGGGCGUAAAGCGCACGUAGGCGGAUUUGUAAGUCAGGGGUGAAAUCCCGGGGCUCAACCUCGGAACUGCCUUUGAUACUGCAAAUCUCGAGUCCGGAAGAGGUGAGUGGAAUUCCUAGUGUAGCGGUGAAAUGCGCAGAUAUCAGGAGGAACACCGGUGGCGAAGGCGGAUCUCUGGGCCGAUACUGACGCUGAGGAGCGAAAGCGUGGGGAGCGAACAGG